GGUCACGUAGUUGUUGACGAGUUGGUGAACUUAGCUUAGAUUUCACGUUAUUCAUGCCUACAUGAGCUGCAUACAACUGCUCUAAUCGCUAGGAUGUGGAUGGACAUUGAUUUCAUUUCCAUUCAGCUGUUGGACUGUACCGGUACUGUAACAUAGUAUGGAUGGUCAAUAUGAAGCAAGCUUCAUUGAAUUCCUCCAAGAGCUCUGUACUCUGUUCUGAUUAUUUUGAAGAUGCUUGCUUUGACUGGACUGGGCAAACGAUUCGUCUUAGACAGGAUGCUGCCCCAACCAUAUUUGAUUUCCCGCCUCGUCUUAAAAAUGACCCAAACCAAGGAAUUCCUGG